GCCGCGUGAGGGAUUACGGCCCUCGGAUUGGAACCUCUUUCUGUAGGGAGGAAAACCCCGAUACCUGUAUCGGGCUCAAAGGAUCGUACCAGUACAGAUCGCCUAAGUCCACGUCAGGCCCCCCGGUUAUCCGGAGGAUCCGGGGGUAAUCCGGAUUUAUUGGGUUGGGCGGGUGCGGUGGCCAUUUGGUAAGUUAAACCUGAAAACUCAUCCCUCAACUACAAUUUUGCUUUGCAUUCUGCCCUGCUAGACUUUAGUUGGUGUGGGGGGAAUGUGUGUUGGAGUGGUGAAAUGCUUAGAGAUCACACGGAACACCGAUUGCAAAAGCAACUCACAACCCUAUUUCUGACCCUAAGGCCAGGAAGCAAGGCGAGCGGACAAGACUAGAUACCCUGGUAUUCCACGCCGUAAACGAUGAUAACUCGUUGUCGUCGAUGCAAAGUCAAUUCCCAAUCGAAAGCGAUAAGUUAUCCACCUGGGGAGUACGUUCUCCAGAAUGAAAGUCAAAAGACUUGA
rnacentral:rRNA from 1 species